GACGAACGCUGGCGGCGUGCUUAACACAUGCAAGUCGAGCGGUAAGGCCACUUCGGGGGUACACGAGCGGCGAACGGGUGAGUAACACGUGAGCAAUCUGCCCUUCACACGGGGAUAGCCACCGGAAACGGUGGCUAAUACCCGAUACGACCACUUCAGGCAUCUGAUGGUGGUGGAAAGUUCCGGCGGUGAAGGAUGAGCUCGCGGCCUAUCAGCUUGUUGGGGGGGUAAUGGCCUACCAAGGCAACGACGGGUAGCCGGCCUGAGAGGGUGACCGGCCACACUGGGACUGAGACACGGCCCAGACUCCUACGGGAGGCAGCAGUGGGGAAUAUUGGACAAUGGGCGAAAGCCUGAUCCAGCAACGCCGCGUGAGGGAUGACGGCCUUCGGGUUGUAAACCUCUUUCAGCAGGGACGAAGCGCAAGUGACGGUACCUGCAGAAGAAGCACCGGCCAACUACGUGCCAGCAGCAGCCGCGGUAA
rnacentral:rRNA from 1 species